rnacentral:rRNA from 1 species
AACGAACGCUGGCGGCAUGCCUAACACAUGCAAGUCGAACGAGACCUUCGGGUCUAGUGGCGCACGGGUGCGUAACGCGUGGGAACCUGCCCUUAGGUUCGGAAUAACUCCCCGAAGGGGUGCUAAUACCGGAUAAUGUCUUCGGACCAAAGAUUUAUCGCCUUUGGAUGGGCCCGCGUUGGAUUAGCUAGUUGGUAGGGUAAAAGCCUACCAAGGCGACGAUCCAUAGCUGGUCUGAGAGGAUGAUCAGCCACACUGGGACUGAGACACGGCCCAGACUCCUACGGGAGGCAGCAGUGGGGAAUAUUGGACAAUGGGCGAAAGCCUGAUCCAGCAAUGCCGCGUGAGUGAUGAAGGCCUUAGGGUUGUAAAGCUCUUUUACCCGGGAUGAUAAUGACAGUACCGGGAGAAUAAGCUCCGGCUAACUCCGUG